rnacentral:rRNA from 1 species
UACGUAGGGUGCGAGCGUUAAUCGGAAUUACUGGGCGUAAAGCGUGCGCGGGCGGUUUUGUAAGCCAGAUGUGAAAUCCCCGGGCUUAACCUGGGAAUGGCAUUUGGGACUGCAAGGCUGGAGUGUGGCAGAGGAGACUGGAAUUCCCGGUGUAGCAGUGAAAUGCGUAGAUAUCGGGAGGAAUACCGAUGGCGAAGGCAGGUCUCUGGGCUGACACUGACGCUCAUGCACGAAAGCGUGGGGAGCAAACAGG